AAAUUGAAGAGUUUGAUCAUGGCUCAGAUUGAACGCUGGCGGUAGGCCUAACACAUGCAAGUCGAACGGUAACAGAAAGCAGCUUGCUGCUUUGCUGACGAGUGGCGGACGGGUGAGUAAUGUCUGGGAAACUGCCUGAUGGAGGGGGAUAACUACUGGAAACGGUAGCUAAUACCGCAUAACGUCGCAAGACCAAAGAGGGG
rnacentral:rRNA from 1 species